rnacentral:rRNA from 1 species
GACGAACGCUGGCGGCGUGCUUAACACAUGCAAGUCGAACGGAAAGGCCCUGCUUUUGUGGGGUGCUCGAGUGGCGAACGGGUGAGUAACACGUGAGUAACCUGCCCUUGACUUUGGGAUAACUUCAGGAAACUGGGGCUAAUACCGGAUAGGAGCUCCUGCUGCAUGGUGGUGGUUGGAAAGUUUCGGCGGUUGUGGAUGGACUCGCGGCUUAUCAGCUUGUUGGUGGGGUAGUGGCUUACCAAGGGUUUGACGGAUAGGCUGCCUGAGAGGGUGGACAGGGACCAGAGGACUACGGGAGGGAGCAGUAGGGAACCGUAGGCAGUGGUCGGAAGUCUUACGGAGUGAGGGCGAGCGUGUGACGAAGGUGCUGGGAGCGUAAUAACGUCCUACGGGUGAAGAACCGAUGUCGCAUGAGACGUGGCGGGAGUGACGGUACUGAGUAAAGAAGCACCGGCUAACUACGUG